rnacentral:rRNA from 1 species
UGGGGAAUAUUGGACAAUGGACCAAAAGUCUGAUCCAGCAAUUCUGUGUGCACGAUGACGUUUUUCGGAAUGUAAAGUGCUUUCAGUUGGGAAGAAAAAAAUGACGGUACCAACAGAAGAAGUGACGGCUAAAUACGUGCCAGCAGCCGCGGUAAUACGUAUGUCACAAGCGUUAUCCGGAUUUAUUGGGCGUAAAGCGCGUCUAGGUGGUUAUGUAAGUCUGAUGUGAAAAUGCAGGGCUCAACUCUGUAUUGCGUUGGAAACUGCACAACUAGAGUACUGGAGAGGUAAGCGGAACUACAAGUGUAGAGGUGAAAUUCGUAGAUAUUUGUAGGAAUGCCGAUGGGGAAGCCAGCUUACUGGACAGAUACUGACGCUAAAGCGCGAAAGCGUGGGUAGCAAACAGGAUUAGAUACCCUGGUAGUCCACGCCGUAAACGAUGAUUACUAGGUGUUGGGGGUCGAACCUCAGCGCCCAAGCUAACGCGAUAAGUAAUCCGCCUGGGGAGUACGUACGCAAGUAUG